rnacentral:sRNA from 1 species
CGGGCGCCGAAGGAGCAGCACCUCCCCGUCAAUCUCUCAGGCACACAGGACCGUGCGGG